GACGGAAAGACCCCGUGAACCUUUACUAUAGCUUGACACUGAACAUUGAGCCUUGAUGUGUAGGAUAGGUGGGAGGCUUAGAAGUGUGGACGCCAGUCUGCAUGGAGCCGACCUUGAAAUACCACCCUUUAAUGUUUGAUGUUCUAACGUUGACCCGUGAUCCGGGUUGCGGACAGUGUCUGGUGGGUAGUUUGACUGGGGCGGUCUCCUCCUAAAGAGUAACGGAGGAGCACGAAGG
rnacentral:rRNA from 1 species